UACGUAGGGACCAAGCGUUGUUCGGAUUUACUGGGCGUAAAGGGCGCGUAGGCGGCAAAUUAAGUCAGCUGUGAAAUCUCCGAGCUUAACUCGGAACUGUCAGCUGAUACUGAUGUGCUAGAGUGCGGAAGGGGCAAUCGGAAUUCUUGGUGUAGCGGUGAAAUGCGUAGAUAUCAAGAGGAACACCUGAGGUGAAGACGGGUUGCUGGGCCGACACUGACGCUGAGUGCGCGAAAGCCAGGGAGCAAACGGG
rnacentral:rRNA from 1 species